rnacentral:lncRNA from 1 species
AUCGGAGCCAAUUGAUUGGUCCGAAUUCAGUUCUGCUUGGUUCAAAUUAGAGCCCACAGCAGCCAGGGUAGAUACUCCCUGGAGUGGUUGCUGGGUGUACAGGACAUGGAAAUUUGGCUAACAUCCAGAAAGAAGAAGCGUCCAAUGUGAUGGAGAACGGGUGUCAGAGAAGAUGAGGAACAACCAAGGAGGAGCUGGUGCCCAGAAACUCCAGGCUGCCCAAGCCACUGACUGCUGUGAGCGGCUCUUCUGUCUGGCUCCCUAUUCCUCCCUGUCCACAGGAGGCUGAGAGGUACCCCCUACCCUGAGUUUCACGAGGAUGUCAGCGGGAAGGGGAACAGGUAAGUUGCGCAGUCUGAUUUGGCAGGACCUGCACUAGGCCCUGGUGA